rnacentral:rRNA from 1 species
GAUGAACGCUGGCGGCGUGCCUAAUACAUGCAAGUCGAGCGAAGCGGGGACGGGUGAGUAACACGUGGAUAACCUCCUAUAAGACUGGGAUAACUUCGGGAAACCGGAGCUAAACCGGAUACUUAUCGAUGGAUCCGCGCUGCAUUAGCUAGUUGGUAAGGUAACGGCUUACCAAGGCAACGAUGCAUAGCCGACCUGAGAGGGUGAUCGACCACACUGGGACGGAGACAGGGUCCAGGCUCGGACGGGAGGCAGCGGUAGGGAAUCUUCCGCAGUGGGCGAAAGCCUGACGGAGCAACGACGCGUGGGAGAAGAAGGGCUCCGGAUUGUAAAGCUCUGUUAUUAGGGAAGCGGUACAUAAUCAGGAAGCAUCGGCGAAGUACGUGCCAGCAGCCGCGGUAAUAC